rnacentral:rRNA from 1 species
CCUACGGGGGGCAGCAGUGAGGAAUAUUGGUCAAUGGGCGCGAGCCUGAACCAGCCAAGUAGCGUGAAGGAUGACUGCCCUACGGGUUGUAAACUUCUUUUAUAAAGGAAUAAAGUGAGGCACGUGUGCCUUUUUGUAUGUACUUUAUGAAUAAGGAUCGGCUAACUCCGUGCCCGCAGCCGCGGUAAUACGGAGGAUUCGAGCGUUAUCCGGAUUUAUUGGGUUUAAAGGGAGCGUAGAUGGGUUGUUAAGGCAGGUGUGAAAAUUUGCGGCUCAACCGUAGAAUUGCCUUUGAUACUGGCAGUCUUGAGUACAGUUGAGGUAGGCGGAAUUCGUGGUGUAGCGGUGAAAUGCUUAGAUAUCACGAAGAACUCCGAUUGCGAAGGCAGCUUAC